rnacentral:lncRNA from 1 species
UAAAGGGAUACAGGGAUAUAAGGUUAGAAAUUUAAAAAAAAAGAGGACUAAGAAGAUAGAGAUUGGAAAAUAACAAUUGGGAGUUGCUAGUUGAACUUUGGACACUGGGAUGCAGAGAGGGGGGGUAUGGGGAAGUCAAAGGAAAGAAGUUUAUGAAAAUAUGUUUGAAACUAUACGUGUAUGUUUGUCAUUUUUGGUGUUUGUUUGUCUUUUGUUUAAAAAGUUUCUAAAACCAAUAAAAAUUUUAUAAAAAAAAAAAAAAAAGAACAGUUUCAGGUUAAGAAUGGACCUCCGGAACGAAUUAAGUACUUAACUCGAGGUACCACUGUACCACAUUGGCCAUCCCUGAUGUAAGAGAUGAGAAAAUAUAAGGGAACCAAGUUUUGACCUGAGUCUGCAAACUGAAAAUUCUAUUGUUUCCGGUCCCUAUUAGUGAAUUGAAUCAGCCUAUUGAAGGUAGGUGUUUGUCAGAAUAUAUAUACAGCUCAUAUUAAGUAUAACAUUGCUUUUUCUCUAGUAAAAGUUUCCCCUUUGUUGUGUGUGCACAUGUUCAUGGUUUUUAUAGUUGAAACUCAAAAAUAAUUUUUCUUAAUUCGCAGAAGAGCAGCAGAUAACCAGUUAGUCCAAACUGCAGCAGUCAAUCCGUAUGAGGAAGUUGGAAAAGACAAUCACGCAUUUGGAUCUGAAACAGCAUUCUAAGAAGGAAACCAGAAAAGCCUUCCCAUCUCUACUGCUAUAUGCAGACUGCAUUCUACUACUUGAUACAGAUCCUCAGCAGCCUUUGGAACUGAUAACAAAGCUGUAAUCUGAAGAAGAAAAACAACCCAUGAAUAUUUAAAUAAAAAUUCAAGAUGUGUUUCUCAUACCAUUUCUUUUAUUUACCUUUUAGCCGUUUCACUGGUUUAAUAAAUCAUUGGGGUAAGAGUUUCCAAACCAGAUUUUAGAGAUGGCAUUAGUGCAAGGGCUCACAAAAGAAAAGGCUGGACAAUCUUUCAGUGCUUGUCAUCUUCUCUGUGUGGUUCAAUGAGAGAAAGCAGAUGGCAAAAUGUGGGACGUUUUUCAGGCAGCUGUAUGAAAAGGAGAAACAAACCAACUCAGCGCUUGCCAUUGAUUGGUGGCCAUUAUUAUUAUUAUUAAUGCGAUUAACAA